AGCGAACGCUAGCGGCAGGCCUAACACAUGCAAGUCGAACGAAGCCUUCGGGCUUAGUGGCGGACGGGUGAGUAACACGUCGGAACGUACCUUUUGGUUCGGAACAACUCAGGGAAACUUGAGCUAAUACCGGACGAGCCCUUCGGGGGAAAGAUUUAUCGCCGAAAGAGCGGCCCGCGUUAGAUUAGCUAGUUGGUGAGGUAACGGCUCACCAAGGCUGCGAUCUAUAGCUGGUCUGAGAGGAUGAUCAGCCACACGGGGACUGAGAAACGGCCCAGACUGUUACGGGAGGCAGCAGUGGAGAUGCUUGCGCAAUGGGCGAAAGCCUGACGCAGCCAUGCCGCGUGAAUGAUGAAGGUCUUAGGAUUGUAAAAUUCUUUUACCAGGGACGAUAAUGACGGUACCUGGAGAAAAAGCCCCGGCUAACUUCGUGCCAGCCGCCGCAGUAACAC
rnacentral:rRNA from 1 species